CGCUCCUUGAUUUUAAUUAAUAAGGAGUCGGACCUGCCCAGUGAUAAGNUAUUUAACGGCCGCGGUACUCUGACCGUGCAAAGGUAGCAUAAUCAUUUGCCCUAUAAUUGAGGGCUAGUAUGAAUGGUUUGACAAGAACAAUACUGUCUCUUUCAAAANUUUCUAGAAUUUAUUCUUUAGGUGAAGAAACCUAAAUAAAAUUAAAAGACAAGAAGACCCUAUCGAGCUUAAACUCUUUUUAUAAAAUAAAAAAAANUUAAUAAUAUUUUUUGUUAUAAAAAAUUUUGGUUGGGGCGACUAAGGAACAAAAAAAGCUUCUUUAUUUAAUAAAGACAAAUAUGUAUUGAUCCAUAAAANUCUUGAUUAAAAGAAUUAGUUACCGUAGGGAUAACAGCAUAAUCUUUUUUAAGAGUUCUUAUCGAAAAAAAGGUUUGUGACCUCGAUGUUGGACUAAAAUUUCCUAAUAGAUGCAGACGUCUUUAAGGG
rnacentral:rRNA from 1 species